rnacentral:rRNA from 1 species
AGAGUUUGAUCAUGGCUCAGAUUGAACGCUGGCGGAAUGCUUUACACAUGCAAGUCGAACGAUGAACCUUAGCUUGCUAAGGGGAUUAGUGGCGAACGGGUGAGUAAUAUAUCGGAACGUACCUUGUAAUGGGGGAUAACUAGUCGAAAGAUUAGCUAAUACCGCAUACGCCCUGAGGGGGAAAGUAGGGGAUCUUCGGACCUUACGUUAUAAGAGCGGCCGAUAUCUGAUUAGCUAGUUGGUGGGGUAAUGGCCUACCAAGGCGACGAUCAGUAGCUGGUCUGAGAGGACGACCAGCCACACUGGAACUGAGACACGGUCCAGACUCCUACGGGAGGCAGCAGUGGGGAAUUUUGGACAAUGGGCGCAAGCCUGAUCCAGCCAUUCCGCGUGAGUGAAGAAGGCCUUCGGGUUGUAAAGCUCUUUCGCAAGGGAAGAAAACUUACAUUCUAAUAAAGUGUGAGGCUGACGGUACCUUGAUAAGAAGCACCGGCUAACUACGUGCCAGCAGCCGCGGUAAUACGUAGGGUGCGAGCGUUAAUCGGAAUUACUGGGCGUAAAGCGUGCGCAGGCGGUUUUGUAAGUCAGAUGUGAAAUCCCCGAGCUCAACUUGGGAACUGCGUUUGAAACUACAAGACUAGAAUAUGUCAGAGGGGGGUAGAAUUCCACGUGUAGCAGUGAAAUGCUUAGAGAUGUGGAGGAAUACCAAUGGCGAAGGCAGCCCCCUGGGAUAAUAUUGACGCUCAUGCACGAAAGCGUGGGGAGCAAACAGGAUUAGAUACCCUGGUAGUCCACGCCCUAAACGAUGUCUACUAGUUGUUGGUGGAGUAAAAUCCAUGAGUAACGCAGCUAACGCGUGAAGUAGACCGCCUGGGGAGUACGGUCGCAAGAUUAAAACUCAAAGGAAUUGACGG